ensembl:lncRNA
CUCAGCCAGAUCAUGGGUGGAUUAUGGAACCCGCGGAGCUCCAGUCUGCAUGAAAUGGAGCCAGCACAGGGCUAUGUCAGCCUGGACAAGAGGCAGGAGAAAGAAGCCACGCAGGGUCCCGAGCAGGGUCGGCCCUCAGCUGGCCUCGAAAGCUCCAGUGCAGUGAUCGCCAUCACAGCUGAGGGUUAAGAUGGGCUCCCAGGAUCUACAAAGAAAACCCCACACCUCUUUUCUGAAGCUGCCUCCUGAAUGAUGUCCUCCUACAGGUGGGAAACCUAGGCAGGGAGCCCUGGGACCGAAUCCUGGAGCAGACAGAACCACAGAGGAUAGAGCCCAGUCCUCUCCCUUGCAUUUUCCAGAUGUGGCAUCUGAGGUCUGCCAGGGAAGGGGCUCCGUGCCAUCACCCCACAAGGAGCCUUGGUGGCCUGUCUUGCUCACCCACUCUCGGGAAACCACAUUCUAGGGACUUCCUGCCUAGGUAAUCCUAGCCCUGUGGAAAGGGGGCCCCUGGAGACCACCGCUCCCUCCCCACAGAGCCAAAAGCUGAGUCCCUGGAACACCAGCAUCCUGGCCGGGUGGGUGGGGUUUGUGUUGCCCAACCAGGAACCAGCAGGGUUCAGGGGUCAGAGGGCAGGGCCCGGAUCGCACCAGCAGCAUGCACCCAUGUACACUGCCUGUGCACUUGGCAAACAGCACUGCCAUCCAAGUGGGCGGCCCUGGCCAGUGCCCUCCUCCUCCUCCCAGCAGCUAGCCCCAGGCCAACCUGAUGAUGCCCCAGGCCGGCCUUGUACCCAGGCUUCUCGCUGGCAGCAAUCUGCCGUCGGUCCCGGGCCUUGCCCGAGAACCCUCCACAGGGCAGCAGGGUCCUUGGCAAGAGACAGCGACAGCCCUGCCCCGCUGUGCCCACACUGUGGGGACCUGAGGAUGGGGAGGCUCGGGGAAGGCACCCUUGGAGGAAGUGGCCCCUGAGGACUGGGUAGGAGUUCAUUAGCACCCCUAGCGGAAGGAGAAGAGGUGCAAAGGCCCUGUGGUGGGAGUGGCAGCAGAGUGAGGCUGGGGUGGGGGAACCCCACGGAGGCAUGGGUCCAGAAAAGGAGGACCUGGCCAGCUAGGGAUGGGGCAUCUGGGCCACAGUCAGCGGGGAGCCGUGGAGGGCUCCAGGCCGGUGGUGACACAGCCAGGGUCAUGUCUUAGGAAGUUCACUCUGGAAGCCUGGGAGCAUGGGGACCUGGUAGAGUCCCCUGGGAUCCACAGUUCAGUAUUCCCGGCACAUACCCCAGGCAGCCAUGACUGUCUGCCUGCUGCCCCAGAUCUGCCCACAGCAACGGUGGGUCCUCCACUCUCGCUAAAGCCUGGAGGGGCCCCUGGCUUCCCCAUGGGAAGGCAGCGUCCUCCCCCAUCCCUGGGCAGGCUGCAAGCGCACACCUUUGGGAAAGACGUCAGCCGAGCAUGGGUUCCUCCCCGGAGCCCGCAUUCGGUCACUGUGGAGUGAGGAGGCCCAGCCCCUCACCCCAACUGGGGACACUGGGCAAGGAGUCUCAGCUGUUGGGUUCCUGAGGCUGCCGUGAGCAUAGCAUCAAAACCACCUCUCCGUCUGCCCAUCACCCCACGGGUAUCCGUCAGGAGUCCCCCUCCCCCAUCUCCAGGCCCAGCUGCACCCUGGACCUGCUUCCGGGGAAGCCCAACUUGGACAGCACGUGCCAGGAGCAGUGUGACCAACUGGCCACAAAAACAGGACUUGGGAGUGCAUCCCCACCCCAGCUGGUGAGGAGAACCCAGGGCAGGGGCCAAGCAGGGGACAGGGAGCCCCUCUGAAGAGGAGCAGCAGUGUCAGAGAAAGUGGGGAGGAGGGGCUGAAGGAGGAGGAACCCCAUGACCAACCCAGGUACAAGGCAGCAACGGCCGGGAGUGCCAAGACCUGACAUGGGAGACCGUGUAGCAGUCAGCUUUCUGUCACUGGGACGCAACACUGACGCCCACAACUUCAAGGAGAAGUUUGUUUCGGCUCACGGUGUCAGGGGGGCUCAGCCCACAGACCAAAGGCUGCAAGGCGCAUGGUGGAAGGACCUGGUGCAAGGAGCUGGUGGAGGAAAGCUGCUCACCUGUGGCAUCCAGGAAGCAGAAAAAGGGGAGGGGCUGAAUUCACCUUUCCAGGCCUUUCCCCAGUACCCGCCUCCAGCCAGGGCCAGCCACUAACAGCACAGCUACUAAGUCCUCCACGCAUGAAUCCACUCACGCGUGUGGCACCCCCAGGACCCAGUUACCUUCCACGUGCAUGAGACGUUGGGGGACACUGCAGGUCGAAACCACAACAUCUGAGUUGAAUCUGAAGUCCUCCCACUCCACUGAACUCUAGAUCCUGCCAGCUUGGCCCGCUUGUCCCCGUGAAGGGCAGGUGCCCCAGCAGUCAGGUGUGCAGGGGGCUCCUCGCUCCAGGACGGCAGCUCCCCUCAGGGUGUGCCCCACCCGCUCCAGGCCACUAGGUGGAUGCCCCCGUUAGAUCACAGCGUAACUCACAGGCACCGUGAUGGAUCAGGCGCACUCCGUGGCCCAGGCCCAGAUCCCGCAGGCCCAGGGACAUGACGUCGGGGAUGUGAAGUGAAGCCCUUGGCGAGAGCUUUCCCGCCGUGCAGGAUGCUACACCCUGGACUGCACGGCCAGGAGCCUAGGACACCCAGCUGCUGCCACCGGGGAGGGUCCUGCAGUUCGCUCAGCCCCACCGCCCAGCACAGGUGAGACACCCAGGGCUGCGGCCAGAGCCAGGUGAGCGGGGGACGAGAGGGGCCCCUGCCUCCAUCCGGGUUCACAGCGUGCUCGGCCCAGGUGGCUGCAGCCACAGUGAGAAGCCAGGAUGGAGGGGGACAGCCCGCCCAGUCACAGCUGGGGAAUGGAGGGGCUGGGACACAAGCCAGGACCUGGACGGCCAGUGACAGCACUGCCUCUGGGGCUGCCUGCGUGACCAGGCCAGAGCUCGCUUCCUCCAGGGCCCAGCCUGCUGCCUGGCUGGUCCUUCCCAGCCCCCCGGACACCAGGAUCCCUUCUAAUCCCCGUCCCCUCGGUGUGACAUAGGGGACAGACCCCAUGUCUGCACUGCAGCUUUGUGGAUCCUGCAUUUCUAUCCUCUACCUCAGUAUCCCCAUGUCUGCCCCAGUGCAGAAGCACCAGGGACUUUAUGUAAACCAUCCGCCUUUGGUUUGAGAGCUGAGGACAGAACCCAGGGCCUGGUGGGUGCCAGGCAAGCGUUCUGCCACCCAGCAGCACCUCUGGCCCCUAAAUCCUCUUUUUAUUCUCACUCUCAGGACAUGGUCGUUGUGCCCAUUUUACAGAUGACAGCCGCAGGGCAGGACCUGCCCAAGACCUCCUGCCAAGGCGGGUGGGGCUUGAACCAGCUGUCUGCCCACCUGUGCUUCCUCCUCCUUUCUAGCCCUCGCUGGCGAGGCUGGGGGUCCCAGCUGUCCCUGCCUGGGCCGCCAGCAGCCGUGCUGUCCUGAAAUGGCCCGGACCAAAGGGCCUAGCUGCAGUUACUCAACAACAAUAAGGAUGAGUUGUUUGCGGUGGCUGUCAGCCAAGGCUGCAGCCGCCUGCCCACCUCGGAGGCGUCUGGGAGGGGCGUGGCCUCUCCGGGCUCCUGCACUGCAGACCCCAGCCGACCGCCCCUGCUCCAGACCUCGCCCUGCCUGCCGCCUGCUGCCCCUCCACACCCAACCCAGAGCUCACGGUGCCUGGAUCCCUUUACCCGCGCCCCUGCGCUGAGGACCUGGCUUCCCGUCCCACCCGAGAGAUGGCUGGGCAGCAGCCCUCCCUGCAUGUCCGAGUCCCCGCAGUGCCUUCAGAGAGCCUCCUCCCUGUUCCCAUCUGUGAGGCGGGGGCAGCUGGCUGCCCGGCACGUGACCCUGUGCGGCUGAAUACGGCUGGUGGUGGAUGCAAACCGCAGGCUCACGCUUCAGAAGGCCUCCGCUAACGGGGUUUUCCCCGCAUCCGCGGCUAUUUCCUCCCCACCAGGGUGGGCAGCAACCCCUCUUGCUGGAGCUCUGUCUGCGCCAAUCAGCCUGCUCCCUCCCUCCCGCUCCCUGAGUUGCGCCCCCCAUGUCUGAACCUCAGUCCACAUCCACUCCCCAGUCUGCAAGUAGGAGGCCCCUGGGGCAAGGUGGGACUUCAACACAAAGGGGUUGGGUUUUCGUCUGGGGCUGGGGCCGCUGCCGUUGGCACUGGUUCCUCAGCCCUAAGCCAGCCCCCGGGCCCCAGACUUCUCUUGGCUCUGUCCUCAUGGUUGCAAGAGUGCUACCGCGGCUCCAAACAUCCAGCCGACGUUCAAAGGCAGGAGGCAGGAAGAGGCCAGGGAGGGCCUCCCUCACACAGCUUCUCUUAUCAGGGGGGACAGAGUCUCCGUCCACACGUCUCACUGGCCAGAGCUGGUCCUGUGGCCCGUGAGCUGCGGAGUCCGGGAAAGAAGCCCCUCGAAGGGGGAAUGCUACCGCUCUGCCCAGCCACCAAUGGCAGAGACCUGGCUGGCCCCUCCUCCCAUCCCAAGGACUACGACGCCCCCCCGCUGCGGGAGGUCACCCCGUGCCACCUGCCCCGUGCACACCCCUGCUCUAUGCUGGUCUUGAUCCUCCUCCUUCCCGGGCCCAGCCCUCCUGCCCCAGGUGAUAAUUUUAAGUCCAAACUCUCCUCGGGCUCUCAAGGAAGCGCUGGCUCCAGCAGGGGCUGCACACGCCUGCGUCCUGCCCGGAGGCCCUGCCAGGCUGCUGGAGGCCUGAUGCCACGUGGGGCCCAGCUCCGAGCACACGCUCCCCUCCCUGUGCCCAGCAGGGACGGCUCUGUGUGGUGCCCUCCGGGAGCAAAGGGCCAAGUGAAGGUGCUGGUCACCCCGCCGGGCUGUGCCCUGUGUCCUCUGAGCACCCUCCAUGUCUCUUCCUCCCUCCCUCAGUCUCCCUGAGAUCCCGGGGCCGGAAGAUCCCAAGGAGGAGGCUGAGAGAGGGCAGAAAGCGUCUGACGAGGCCCAGGGUGCCCCAGUGAAGACGCGCUGGGCUUCAGGUGAAGGUCAGCAGCAGUGAGUUCCAGGCGCCCCUGCCCUCCAGAGCCCCCCAGGCCCAUGCCCGACCCCUGGGCUCCCAGGACUGGCGGGGAAGGAGGCCAAGGGCUCAAGAAGCUAUAAGCUUCUCAGGGCAUCACUGCUGGCCACUGCCAGGUGCGGGGUGGCCUGGGCCUCGGGCUGCACAGUGGGCAGUGGAGGCCAGAGCCGGGGCUGGGAAGGCCCCAGGUGGCAGAGCUGGAUGGUGACCAGCAGCCCAGCACCCGGGCCCAGGACAGGACACUGUGUCUUGAUUAUUUCCAGUCUCCUGACCCCCAAGUAGCGAGGUAAUGUUCCUGUUUACUCCGAGGGCUAGAACAGGAGGCGGGGCGGCUAAGCUGGCCUCCUGGCAUUGCCCCCCAAACUUCAGGUAAGACAGCAGCCACAGGGAGCUAAGAGUCACAGGGGGUGGGAGCCAGGGCUCUGGGGGCUCCAGGGCUUUCGGGACCAGCCCAGGAUGCAGGGAUGUGGCUGGGAGACCCGCCACCGCGGCCAUGAGGCUGAGGACCGAGGGCCACAGCAUCCGGUUCGCCUUGCCUGGCUAAGUGUGGCUUCAUCUUGCCCUCUGGGUGGCGAAGGGACGUUAGCCCGGCCGGGCCCUCAGACGUGGGGGGCAGCUCUGCAUCGGGGCCAGCAGCCUGUGGCUGACCGGGAGGGGCUCCAGGAGUUGCAAGCCCAGCUCCGACUUCUGUGGUCUGGACUCCUGAGAUGCUCACGGAUCUGCCCAAGGGACCUGCCUGGCACCCAGGGCCGGCGUCCCGGGGCCGGGUGAGGGCAGCAGCUCUGUCAGGCAGGACCAGCAAAGGUUUGCUGUGCUUUUUUCAAUGCUAGCAAGGCAAAAGCUGUACUGCCACGCACCCCACCCGCAGUGUUGUUUCCUUUUUGUUUUUAAUAAGCAACACGAGUUGGCACCAACUCGCUGCUGGCACCAACGUGAGAUGCCAGUGUGACUUUCACACGCAAGGGUCUCUUCCCUUAUGGAGAAGCACCCCUCCCCUCCCCCACUCACUCCACACAGACACACAUGGAGGGAGGGCGUGGCACAAGGACCGCGGGUGUGCAGGCAGGGGUGGAGGCUCAGGGACACGACACCCCAGUCUCCACGUGUCUGUGCCGUCACCAGGCCCCUGAGGAAGGAGCCCAGAGCCCUCCCUGCAUCUCCCGAGUGUCACAGAGCCCAGGACAGGAUGUCACUGAGACCUGGGAGGGCAGAGACCCCUGUCUCUCCCUGGCACUUGUGUGACCUCCACCUCAGUUUCCCUAUCUCUGAUACCAAAGGGAGUCCGCAAGUACUGUCACCUCCUAUAAGGCCAGGGUAGGGGACAGAGAGCUCAUAUCUGGGGAAACCCUGAUGGGCCCGAAUCUCCCACGUGAGACAGAAGCCAGGGUGGACACCCUGCCUAGCCCGUCUACUUCCCCCCUCUUCCACCAAUAGCUGUGUGGCUUCCGGCAGGUUUCUUGACCUCUCUGGACCCAAGCGUCAGCACUGAGCAGGCUUCUAUCCGGGGACUGACGGGGCUCGGGGUGGUCGGGGACACCUGCACUCCACCCCGAAGCCCGGCCUACGAGGCCACCUCAGGCCACUCCGGGUGGGAAGACGGGGACAGUCGCAGCGCGAGUCCCUCCCCCCACAGUGGCUGUAGAGGGAAAAACAUCAGCCAAAUCACAGCUGAAACUACGUGCAGCGCCUGGAGAGGCUGGGACUGGGGCCGGAAGGGUUGAGAUACUGUGGCCCCAGGGAGAGGCCCCGGGUGCCCAGCUGUGCACAACCUGGGCUCGGGCAUCACCCGGGGCCAGCGUGGUCCCCAGCCCCUCACCCCGCAACCAGGGAGGGCGACGGCACAGGCAGGGCUGUGGGACUUCAGAAGGAGCGGAGGGACACCCAGCGGGGAGUCUCGGGAAGCUGAAAGCCAGGAGGGGGGGGCCCAGGUGGGAGCCGCUGAAGGGGGGCACUGCUUCCG